UACGUAGGGUGCAAGCGUUGUCCGGAAUUAUUGGGCGUAAAGAGCUCGUAGGCGGUCUGUCGCGUCUGCUGUGAAAACUCAGGGCUUAACCCUGAGCUUGCAGUGGGUACGGGCAGACUAGAGUGCGGUAGGGGAGACUGGAAUUCCUGGUGUAGCGGUGAAAUGCGCAGAUAUCAGGAGGAACACCGGUGGCGAAGGCGGUUCUCUGGGAAUGUCCUGACGCUGGAGGAGCGAAAAGCGUGGGGAGCGAACAGG
rnacentral:rRNA from 1 species